GACGAACGCUGGCGGCGUGCUUAACACAUGCAAGUCGAACGGAGUGGCGAACGAGUGAGUAACACGUGGGUGACCUGCCCUGCACUUCGGGAUAAGCCGGGGCAACUGGGUCUAAUACCGGAUAGUGUGGGAUGGGCCCGCUGCCUAUCUGCUGGUGGGUGGGGUAAUGGCCUCCACAGGCGGCGACGGGUAGCCGGCCUGUGAGGGUGGACGGACACCUUGGGCCUGGGACACGGCCCAGACUCCUACGGUAGGCAGCAGUGGGUAAUAUUGCACAAUGGGUGGAAGCCUGAUGCAGCGUCGCCGCGUGGGGGCUGACGGCCUUCGGGUUGUAGACUCCUUUCACCAUCGACGCGGGAGAGGGAGAAGAAGCACCGGCUAACUACGUGCCAGCAGCCGCGGUAAUAC
rnacentral:rRNA from 1 species